CCUACGGGUGGCAGCAGUGAGGAAUAUUGGUCAAUGGACGCAAGUCUGAACCAGCCAUGCCGCGUGCAGGAAGACGGCUCUAAGAAUUGUAAACUUCUUUUGUCCGGGGACAAACGCAGGUACGCGAACCUGUCUGAACGUAUCGUACGAAUAAGGAUCGGCUCACUCCGUGCCAGCAGCCGCGGUAAUACGGAGGAUUCAAGCGUUAUCCGGGUUUAUUGGGUUUAAAGGGUGCGUAGUCGGUCAGGUAAGUUAACGGUGAAAGCCCCUGGCUCCACCUCGGGAGUGCCUUUGAUACUGUACGUCUAGAGAGGAGGAGCGGUAGGCGGAAUGUAUGGUGUAGCGGUGAAAUGCUUAGAUAU
rnacentral:rRNA from 1 species